GCUUACGGCAUAUCAUGUUGGAAGCACCGGUUCUCGUUCGAUCACCGUAGUUAAGCAACAUCGAGCCUAGUUAGUACUUAGAUGGGUGACCGCUUGGGGAACUAGGUGCUGUAAGCA
rnacentral:rRNA from 1 species